GCCUAAAACGGAAAAAAGAAAAGAAAUCCCCAAAAAAGUGAAAACAAGAAAAAUUAGCAAAAAGCUAAGUGAAAAAACCACAUACAUAACCACAACAGAAAAAAGGUUGCAACAUAAAUGGAAAAGUAAAAGAAUUGCCAAGAAACCCAGAUUUUCGUCAUUAUUCUCGGGGUGACCAUGAUUCCAACAAAUGCAACAAAUUUUAAUCCAAUAAAAUUAAGUAAAUUUCACCGAUUUACUAUAUACCAUUUAAAUGCACAAUAACGCGGCCGAGGGUAAACGAGGAAGAACAAACAAACCACAAUAUUUAAAGCUAAGCGGAGGUGAACAUGAAUUUGAAGCUAUGCCAUAGAGGCAUAUGA
rnacentral:sRNA from 1 species